CAAGGAUGCCCAGCAGAAGCAGCGCCUGAAAACCAAGUCUGCUAUUGCUUUGCGUGGUGGUGAUAUCAAAGAAGUGCGGUUUAAGGCGAAAACUGAAAUUAAAGACAUGAAGGUGAAAGCAGAUGCAAUUACCAGGCUGAUGGAGCAUGGAUACAAGGUGAAG